rnacentral:rRNA from 1 species
AGGAUAAACGCUGGCGGCGUGCCUUAUGCAUGCAAGUCGAACGCACCGCAAGGUGAGUGGCGAACGGGUGAGUAACACGUAGGAACCUGCCUGAAAGUGGGGGAUAACCUUUCGAAAGAGGGGCUAAUACCGCAUGUGGUCUCCGGACCAAAGCUUCGGCGCUUUCAGAGGGGCCUGCGGCGGAUUAGCUUGUUGGUGGGGUAACGGCCUACCAAGGCGACGAUCCGUAGCUGGUCUGAGAGGAUGGUCAGCCACACUGGGACUGAGAUACGGCCCAGACUCCUACGGGAGGCAGCAGCAAGGAAUUUUGCGCAAUGGGCGAAAGCCUGACGCAGCAACGCCGCGUGGGGGAUGAAGGCCUUCGGGUUGUAACCCUUUUGCGAGGGAAGAAGAUCUGACGGUACCUCGCGAAUAAGCCACGGCUAACUACGUGCCAGCAGCCGC